rnacentral:lncRNA from 1 species
AAUGACAAUCCAUUUUCAUAACUAUCAAUGUUCCGAUCAAGAUAAGUAUUUAUAGAGAGAGAUAUACAUCCAUAGUUAAAAAUAAGACAAACUAUAUGUUUGUUAAUUGUUGAUUUCAUGAUCAUACAUGUCUUUGUGAAGAUAAAAAAUAGAUUUUUGACUUAAAACAAUAAUCAAACUCCUCUGUAAUCUUCUACUUCUUCUUUAAUCAUUUUGUGUGCCUUUCGUAAGGAUGACCUGUUUUCAUACUUUUUUCCUUGCUAUAGUCUUCUCCCACUCUUUCCCGUUCUUUUCUAUAUCUAUUUUUUUGUUGUUAAUGGUGUGAAGUGUCUUCUCUCCU